UACGUAGGGGGCAAGCGUUGUCCGGAGUUACUGGGCGUAAAGCGCACGCAGGCGGUCUCUUAAGUUUGGAGUGACAGUUGGUGGCUUAACUGCCAAAGUGCUUCGAAAACUGAGAGACUUGAGGGCUUCAGAGGGACACGGAAUUCCGGGUGGAGUGGUGAAAUGCGUAGAGAUCCGGAGGAACACCAAAGGCGAAGGCAGUGUCCUGGGGAGUACCUGACGCUCAGGUGCGAAAGCGUGGGGAGCAAACAGG
rnacentral:rRNA from 1 species